rnacentral:rRNA from 1 species
GACGAACGCUGGCGGCGUGCUUAACACAUGCAAGUCGAACGAGACGAUUUAGAAGCUUGCUUUAUUGAGUCGAGUGGCAAACGGGUGAGUAACGCGUAGACAACCUGCCGCAAAGAUGGGGACAACAGUCCGAAAGGACUGCUAAUACCGAAUGUUGUAUCUCCUCCGCAUGGAAGAGAUAUUAAAGAUGGCCUCUACUUGUAAGCUAUCGCUUUGCGAUGGGUCUGCGUCUGAUUAGCUAGUUGUGGGCAAGGCUACCAAGGCGACGAUCAGUAGCCGGUCUGAGAGGAUCGAACGGCCACAUUGGAACUGAGACACGGUCCAGACUCCUACGGGAGCAGUCAGUGGG